UACCGAGGGGGCAAGCGUUGUUCGGAAUUACUGGGCGUAAAGGGCGCGUAGGCGGCCUGUUCAGUCGAACGUGAAAUCCCUCGGCUUAACCGGGGAACUGCGUCUGAUACUGGAUGGCUCUGAGUUUGGGAGAGGGAUGCGGAAUUCCAGGUGUAGCGGUGAAAUGCGUAGAUAUCUGGAGGAACACCGGUGGCGAAGGCGGCAUCCUGGACCAACACUGACGCUGAGGAGCGAAAGCCAGGGGAGCAAACGGG
rnacentral:rRNA from 1 species